GAUUAACGCUGGCGGCGUGCAUAACACAUGCAAGUCGAACGAUGAAACUUAAAUGAUUUCUUCGGAAUGAACUUAAGUGGAUUAGUGGCGGACGGGUGAGUAACGCGUGAGUAACCUGCCUUACACAAGGGGAUAGCCGUUGGAAACGACGAAUAAUACCCUAUGAAACUAUCACUUCGCAUGAAGCGAUAGUCAAAGUGUUAGCGGUGUAAGAUGGACUUGCGUCUGAUUAGCUAGUUGGUGAGAAAAAAGCCCACCAAGGCAACGAUCAGUAGCCGGCUUGAGAGAGUGUACGGCCACAUUGAGACUGAGACACGGCCCAGACUCCUACGGGAGGCAGCAGUGGGGAAUUUUGCACAAUGGGGGAAACCCUGAUGCAUCGACGCCGCGUGAUUUAGAAGGCCUUCGGGUUGUAAAAAUCUUUUGUAUAGGAAGAAAAUGACAGUACUAUACGAAUAAGGUCCGGCUAAUUACGUG
rnacentral:rRNA from 1 species